CAUAGGUUAAUGAGGCGAACCGGGGGAACUGAAACAUCUAAGUACCCCGAGGAAAAGAAAUCAACCGAGAUUCCCCCAGUAGCGGCGAGCGAACGGGGAGGAGCCCAGAGCCUGAAUCAGUGUGUGUGUUAGUGGAAGCGUCUGGAAAGGCGCGCGAUACAGGGUGACAGCCCCGUACACAAAAAUGCACAUAUUGUGAGCUCGAUGAGUAGGGCGGGACACGUGGUAUCCUGUCUGAAUAUGGGGGGACCAUCCUCCAAGGCUAAAUACUCCUGACUGACCGAUAGUGAACCAGUACCGUGAGGGAAAGGCGAAAAGAACCCCGGCGAGGGGAGUGAAAAAGAACCUGAAACCGUGUACGUACAAGCAGUGGGAGCCUCUUAAUGGGGUGACUGCGUACCUUUUGUAUAAUGGGUCAGCGACUUAUAUUCUGUAGCAAGGUUAACCGAAUAGGGGAGCCGAAGGGAAACCGAGUCUUAACUGGGCGUUAAGUUGCAGGG
rnacentral:rRNA from 1 species